UACGUAGGAUGCAAGCGUUAAUCGGAAUUACUGGGCGUAAAGCGUGCGCAGGCGGCUUUGCAAGACAGAUGUGAAAUCCCCGGGCUUAACCUGGGAACUGCAUUUGUGACUGCAUGGCUGGAGUGCGGCAGAGGGGGAUGGAAUUCCGCGUGUAGCAGUGAAAUGCGUAGAUAUGCGGAGGAACACCGGUGGCGAAGGCAAUCCCCUGGGCCUGCACUGACGCUCAUGCACGAAAGCGUGGGGAGCAAACAGG
rnacentral:rRNA from 1 species